AUAAAUUAUCUUGAAACCAAUUUACUUUUUUUUUGUUUACUUUUUGAUUAAUAUCAGUUUCUUAGUUUCUUAUUAACUACCAACUGUUUUGAUACAUUUUAUAAAUCAAGUUAACCUUACUCUAAGCUUAAGGGAAUUUUGUGAGAAGUGAAAAUUAUUGAAAAUUAUAAAUCAAAUGGUUAAUUAUCUGUAAAUUAAUUGAAACCCAUUCUCAACAUAUAAAGUUGAGUUCUUGUGUGUUUAUACUGACAAGAGGUGAAUAUUUGUAGUAAGGAUGAACAGUGAAAGAAAGAAGUGAAUCUAGGGUUAACCUGUUGAGUUAAUUUCCUUCAAUCCUAACAUCAUGAAUGAUUGGAUCGUUUUUUUGGAAACUGAUUUGUUGACUAAUCAUUGGAUUACUGGAUGAUGGACGGAAAUCAAAGCUCGUAACAGUCAAGUAUAUAAAUCCUGUGGUGUACAUUUUGAUGUGAUCUGAACUCAAACUGGUGAUUACCUAAAGAUGACAACAGAUCUUACAACUCGUCAUGCCUUUUUGGUUGGUUAACGUUAAGUGUUUAAGAAUGCACUGCUAUGGUUGACGAAAAUGGAAUAAUAAACAAUGGACUAAAAACUUCGACACAAGCUGACUACAGAGUCAACAGGGCUUCUCCUCUUGAAGAAUCUCGAUUUUGAACCAAUCAGGAUGAAAUAUGGAGUUGAACACGUUUGGUACACAUUUGCUAAUCUUAACGAUGGAAGGUUACAUUUUAUGACUUUUCAAUGAUCACUUUACUCAAGAAUAUGGAAUAUCUACACGUUGUCAAGUUUACUUAAUGAUUAUUAUGUGAUGAUGAUGAUGACAAUUAUAAUUACUACAAACACUGGAACAAAGUAUUCUCUGUUGGUUUGCUGUUCAUUCUUGUUUCCCUGGAUAAAGUCAAAGCAAUUCUUGGUUGUCAGUAUUUCAGGAGGAGACAGUUCAAAAACUCAAGAAAACCACACUAAACAAAAUUACAAUUAAUCUUUCAAAGACUGGGCCUAAGAGAAAAGUCAUCUUUUGUGAACUGAGCUAUUACAAGUGUAACAAUUUACAUUUAUAAAAGAGGAUAUAAUUGGUGAUAUUUGCAUAUUUUUGGGCAAAGAAAAAGAAAGUGUGAUUACAAUUAAUCAUUUCCAUUCCAUCAUCUUCCAUUUCGACUGUGCCUUUUCCUGAUAGAUACAUUGAUCUGACAGGUUUGAUCAUAAUCAGUAAGACAAUCAGUCAAUAAGAGUCAGAUUAUCCAAAUUAUUAAUUAUCAUUGUAAAUAAUGUCUUGGGUUGAUGUAUGGUUUUCCCUUUCGAUCUCUAGUUGCAGAUAUUUGGAUGGACAAAACAAAAGGAAAGCAACAACAAUCAGCAAAUUAAAAGAAGUUCAUUGUUUAUAAGUUCACUUAUAUUCAUUAAAUGAAUCUUUUAAUAACAAUUAGUCAACCAUAGAUUAACAAUGAGCAUUGAAAGUAAAGAUUUGAAAGUAUUUAAUGUCGGACAAUUUUCAUUGAAUAUGAUUACACCAAAGUAGCCCGAGCCAGGACAAAGACGAUGGAUCUGAUGAUGGUGAUGAUGAUGAUAAUGAUAAUAAUGGUGAUGACAAAAGAUGAUUAUAAUGCUUUCUUAGAUAAAAAUCAUUAAUUAGAAUCGGACAAAAUGGCGAAGCGAAAAUUUAAAUUAAAAAGACAACAAUCGGAUCCAUCAUUACCAUACCUUGAGUUGACUUAUUAGCUGAAAAGGGGAAACAUUUUGUGAUUUAGUCAACUAGUUAGUUAUUAUUAUUCAUUAUGACUAUCACUAUUAUUAUCAAGUUGAUGAUGAUGAUGAUGAUGGCGAUGAUUAUUAUUAUUAUUUAAAUUUUGUUGAUCUCAGAUUCUCACAUGAAACAAAACAAAAAAAGGUAAAGGGAGUAAACGAGCUUUUAACAAGCUCUAAAUGAACAGACUCAACAUUGAAAACGGACUGAAUUAAAAAAGAAGAGAUAUGAAUUAAUUUUAAUGAAUAGGAUUAACAUGUAUCAUGAUGAUUAAAAGAAGAUGUUGUAGAUAAAAAUUAUCUUCACGGUUAAGACCAUAAUCAUUAUAAUUGUAAGACAAACUUGUCUGACCACACAAGCAUAUUCAGUUCUUGCUCUUCUUUUCCUAACAUAAUCGUCCUUUUUUUACCCAAACAGUUUAAUGUUUAAUUUUAUUUAUUUCAACUUUAUUCAAGUUGAUGCAUGAAUUUUAAACAUGAUAUUAAUAAAAGACAAUUUGUACUCAA